AGUAGACGCUCUCAUAUUGGAACGGCUCAGGUCGGAGACUACUCUCUCCCGGAAGACGAGUUCCCAAAAACCGGCUCAACUGUGAACGAUGAGGAGAACCGCAGAACCCAUCUCAUCUCUUCUUCUUCUCUCGUGCCUCCUUCCUUCCGCCCUCGCAGGUCCCGCCAGGACCCUUAAUGGACUUCUGUUUAUAAGUUUCAUGGCCCUGGUGAUAGGGUGCACGAUUGCAGGUCGCGUGGAGUUGGAAGUUUCAGGACAUCGUCUCCCAAAAAGGCGAUGGCGGACUCAAAAGAAACUAGAACGCCGGCAAUGGUUGGAUGGUCGGGAUCCAGGAAAGCAGGAUGCCGCCUUCAUAACUCUCAACUCUGGUCCCUCCAACUCUCUCUCUCUCUCUCUCUCUCUUGUUUCUUCUUAUCUCUCCAUAACGACGUCAGGCAAUAGUAUUAUUUCUCUUGAGACGUAUCUGGCGGCUGUUUCGUCCUGGUGGAUUGGAUCCAAUUUUCCCCUCUCGUGAAGUACUUUAGAUAUAGCAAGGAUGGUAGGAACAAACAAUAUCUUCUGGUGCUCGCUGUUCUAGUAACAACCAAGUAACUGAAUUUCCAGCCGACCUGCAGCUUGUUACAGCUGGUACUUCUCAUCUAGAGCCAUAUAAUGAUGAUGAUAAGAAACACAAAUCCUCUGAGCAAAGUUGAAGCUCUUCAGUUCAAGUUCUUGCAUCUUGUCCAUCAGAUAAAGCGGUCACCAGAAAAUCUUCUAGUUGCACAGUUGUUAUGGAGGUUGCGACUUGCAAGCUUGAUAUGAGAUGGUGAGUCAAAUGUGAAGAGACCAUGUCUGAAGAUCUAUAAAACGAAGGCUAUGGCAGUAGAGCAAGUGUUUGCUGGUUGACCCACUCUGGAGUACUCAUUUAAGAUUCUUGUUAUGGGAAGAACUGAUGUAGGCAAGAAUGCAACCGUAGGUUUGAUUUUUGAUGAAGCAAAGGGACCAACUAAUGCAUUCGAACGUGCCUCUUAUCAUAUCCGAGAAGUUGUUGGGACUAUUAAUAGACACAUUUGGCUUUCACCUGCACAUCAUAACCACUGUCGAAACAGAAAACUUGUGCUUGCAAUGAGAAGGUUUAUAAAAAGGUAUCCACCAGAUGUUGUUCUAUUUUUGGAUGCUUGAUGCCAUCAAUAAGGGCUACAGUGAUUACCCAUUACUGAAGCUUAUAACUGAUGUUUUUCGGUUCUUCUAUCUGGUUCAACAGCAUACUUGUCAUGACUCCUUUGUCGCCACCUUCUGAAGGACCUCACAGUUACCCUGUCAGCUUUGAAACAUCUGUUCACCAGUGUACAUAUCUGGUACAGCAGUACACACAUCAGGCAGUUUCCAACAUGCAGCUUGAGAUCCCCAUUCCUUUUGGUGGAGAACCAUCUGAUGUAUAUGACAAAUAUAGAAGGUGAGAAGGUUCUAUAGAAUGGCUAGGUUUGGAAGUCUUAGUUUCUGUUACUGUGCAUAGCCGCUAAGGUAUUGGGGGAUGUUAUAUCUGAGUUCCUUCUCUCAGCGGGCAAUUAAACAGAUAAAUCCAUCUGUUAAUUGUUGACUUUUAUCAAUUUUUAAAUCUUUAAAGGCAGUAUUGUUGCCAGACGAUUAUAUUCUUGUGAGAUUUCUCAUUUGAGUGGAAUCAAUUAAGGAGGUGUUUGAUUGGGGG